AGAGAAAAGGCACUGGCUGGAGAAGUGGCCCUCUAAUUACCAAUGUGUGAGUGUGCAGUGAGACGCAGAGACGCUGCAACAAUGACACCUUGGGAUGUAAAGUUACAGCUGAACAGGGACCAUAAUUUAUAUCCUCACUAUCCGUGCCUAUAAAAGAGAGAUCAGACAGAACUUUAAAGUUGAUGUUCAGAAUUCAGUGUGUUUUUAUGUGAAGGUAUGAGUUCUAGGUGAGGUCUGGUUUUUAUGUGAGGGUAUGUGUUCCAGGUGAGGUCUGGUUUUUAUGUGAAGGUGUGUGUUCCAGGUGAGGUCUGGUUUUUAUGUGAAGGUGUGUGUUCCAGGUGAGGUCUGGUUUUUAUGUGAAGGUGUGUGUUCUAGGUGAGGUCUGGUUUUUGUUUGAGGGUGUGUGUUCUAGGUGAGGUCUGGUUUUUAUUUGAGGGUGUGUGUUCUAGGUGAGGUCUGGUUUUUAUGUGAAGGUGUGUGUUCUAGGUGAGGUCUGGUUUUUAUUUGAGGGUGUGUGUUCUAGGUGAGGUCUAGUUUUUAUGUGAAGGUGUAUGUUCUAGAUGAGGUCUGGUUCCAGACCUUACUGACCUUCACAAGACGUCCACAAAUAAGCACUCAUUAACUCAACCACUUGAAUUUAUUUAUGCUGGCUAAUUUCUGCCCAGUUUUUGCAGGGCCAUGGAGGGAGAGGCUCAAUAACUCAACC
rnacentral:lncRNA from 1 species